rnacentral:rRNA from 1 species
UUAAGCGACUAAGCGUACACGGUGGAUGCCCUGGCAGUCAGAGGCGAUGAAGGACGUGCUAAUCUGCGAAAAGCGUCGGUAAGGUGAUAUGAACCGUUAUAACCGGCGAUGUCCGAAUGGGGAAACCCAGUGUGAUUCGUCACACUAUCGUUAACUGAAUACAUAGGUUAACGAGGCGAACCGGGGGAACUGAAACAUCUAAGUACCCCGAGGAAAAGAAAUCAACCGAGAUUCCCCCAGUAGCGGCGAGCGAACGGGGAGCAGCCCAGAGUCUGAAUCAGCUUGUGUGUUAGUGGAACGGUCUGGAAAGUCCGACGGUACAGGGUGAUAGUCCCGUACACCAAAAUGCACAGGUUGUGAACUCGAAGAGUAGGGCGGGACACGUGGUAUCCUGUCUGAAUAUGGGGGGACCAUCCUCCAAGGCUAAAUACUCCUGACUGACCGAUAGUGAACCAGUACCGUGAGGGAAAGGCGAAAAGAACCCCGGCGAGGGGAGUGAAAAAGAACCUGAAACCGUGUACGUACAAGCAGUGGGAGCACCUUCGGGUGUGACUGCGUACCUUUUGUAUAAUGGGUCAGCGACUUAUAUUCUGUAGCAAGGUUAACCGUAUAGGGGAGCCGCAGGGAAACCGAGUCUUAACUGGGCGUUAAGUUGCAGGGUAUAGACCCGAAACCCGGUGAUCUAGCCAUGGGCAGGUUGAAGGUUGGGUAACACUAACUGGAGGACCGAACCGACUAAUGUUGAAAAAUUAGCGGAUGACUUGUGGCUGGGGGUGAAAGGCCAAUCAAACCGGGAGAUAGCUGGUUCUCCCCGAAAGCUAUUUAGGUAGCGCCUCGUGAACUCAUCUUCGGGGGUAGAGCACUGUUUCGGCUAGGGGGUCAUCCCGACUUACCAACCCGAUGCAAACUACGAAUACCGAAGAAUGUUAUCACGGGAGACACACGGCGGGUGCUAACGUCCGUCGUGAAGAGGGAAACAACCCAGACCGCCAGCUAAGGUCCCAAAGUCAUGGUUAAGUGGGAAACGAUGUGGGAAGGCACAGACAGCCAGGAUGUUGGCUUAGAAGCAGCCAUCAUUUAAAGAAAGCGUAAUAGCUCACUGGUCGAGUCGGCCUGCGCGGAAGAUGUAACGGGGCUAAACCAUGCACCGAAGCUGCGGCAGCGACACUAUGUGUUGUUGGGUAGGGGAGCGUUCUGUAAGCCUGCGAAGGUGUGCUGUGAGGCAUGCUGGAGGUAUCAGAAGUGCGAAUGCUGACAUAAGUAACGAUAAAGCGGGUGAAAAGCCCGCUCGCCGGAAGACCAAGGGUUCCUGUCCAACGUUAAUCGGGGCAGGGUGAGUCGACCCCUAAGGCGAGGCCGAAAGGCGUAGUCGAUGGGAAACAGGUUAAUAUUCCUGUACUUGGUGUUACUGCGAAGGGGGGACGGAGAAGGCUAUGUUAGCCGGGCGACGGUUGUCCCGGUUUAAGCAUGUAGGCUGAUUGUCCAGGCAAAUCCGGAUAAUCAAGGCUGAGGUGUGAUGACGAGGCACUACGGUGCUGAAGUAACAAAUGCCCUGCUUCCAGGAAAAGCCUCUAAGCAUCAGGUAAUAUCAAAUCGUACCCCAAACCGACACAGGUGGUCAGGUAGAGAAUACCAAGGCGCUUGAGAGAACUCGGGUGAAGGAACUAGGCAAAAUGGUGCCGUAACUUCGGGAGAAGGCACGCUGGUGUGUAGGUGAAGCCCCUGCGGGUGGAGCUGAGACCAGUCGAAGAUACCAGCUGGCUGCAACUGUUUAUUAAAAACACAGCACUGUGCAAACACGAAAGUGGACGUAUACGGUGUGACGCCUGCCCGGUGCCGGAAGGUUAAUUGAUGGGGUUAUCCGUAAGGAGAAGCUCUUGAUCGAAGCCCCGGUAAACGGCGGCCGUAACUAUAACGGUCCUAAGGUAGCGAAAUUCCUUGUCGGGUAAGUUCCGACCUGCACGAAUGGCGUAAUGAUGGCCAGGCUGUCUCCACCCGAGACUCAGUGAAAUUGAACUCGCUGUGAAGAUGCAGUGUACCCGCGGCAAGACGGAAAGACCCCGUGAACCUUUACUAUAGCUUGACACUGAACAUUGAGCCUUGAUGUGUAGGAUAGGUGGGAGGCUUUGAAGCGUGGACGCCAGUCUGCGUGGAGCCAACCUUGAAAUACCACCCUUUAAUGUUUGAUGUUCUAACGUUGGCCCCUGACCGGGGUUGCGGACAGUGUCUGGUGGGUAGUUUGACUGGGGCGGUCUCCUCCCAAAGCGUAACGGAGGAGCACGAAGGUUAGCUAAUCCUGGUCGGACAUCAGGAGGUUAGUGCAAUGGCAUAAGCUAGCUUGACUGCGAGCGUGACGGCGCGAGCAGGUGCGAAAGCAGGUCAUAGUGAUCCGGUGGUUCUGAAUGGAAGGGCCAUCGCUCAACGGAUAAAAGGUACUCCGGGGAUAACAGGCUGAUACCGCCCAAGAGUUCAUAUCGACGGCGGUGUUUGGCACCUCGAUGUCGGCUCAUCACAUCCUGGGGCUGAAGUAGGUCCCAAGGGUAUGGCUGUUCGCCAUUUAAAGUGGUACGCGAGCUGGGUUUAGAACGUCGUGAGACAGUUCGGUCCCUAUCUGCCGUGGGCGCUGGAGAAUUGAGGGGGGCUGCUCCUAGUACGAGAGGACCGGAGUGGACGCAUCACUGGUGUUCGGGUUGUCAUGCCAAUGGCACUGCCCGGUAGCUAAAUGCGGAAGAGAUAAGUGCUGAAAGCAUCUAAGCACGAAACUUGCCCCGAGAUGAGUUCUCCCUGAGACUUUAAGUCUCCUGAAGGAACGUUAAAGACGAUGACGUUGAUAGGCCGGGUGUGUAAGCGCAGCGAUGCGUUGAGCUAACCGGUACUAAUGAACCGUGAGGCUUAACCUU